rnacentral:tRNA from 1 species
GUAUAGCUCAGUGGCAUAGUACCUGCCUGGCAAGCAUGAGAUUCUGAGUUCAAUUCCCAGUAC